rnacentral:lncRNA from 1 species
GAGGCUUGUUAGGAAGUGAGUAAAUGUAAUAAAAAUGCAACUGCACUAAGUGUGUGUCAGCUAAUUUGCAUGUCUGUGGGUCCAAGUGUGGUGCUUGUAGGGAAACAGCUGUCUGCUCUCUGUUCACAUAAGUAUGAAGAUGAGGUGCUUAGAAAGGUGAAUCUCCAUCAAAAAGAGCAAACCAGCGCUGGAAGGAGUUUCAGCAUCAGCCUAUGACUGUGCCAGGCACACAGCAUUUACGUCAACACAGAAAGAGAAUCUGCUUACUUAUAUGAGUUUCCAAAACCAGAUCUGAUGGACUAGAGAGAUGGCUCAGCCACUAAGAGAGAUGACUGCCCUAGCAGAAGACCAGAGAUAUCUCUGUUUUCAGCACCCAUGUUGGACAUCUUAGAACCAUCUCUAAAUCCGGCUCUAGGUGAUCCAAUGUCUUCUUCCCAGACUCCAAGGGCACCUGUACUCAAGUGCACAAACCCA